rnacentral:rRNA from 1 species
CCUACGGGGGGCUGCAGUGGGGAAUAUUGGACAAUGGGGGCAACCCUGAUCCAGCCAUGCCGCGUGUGUGAAGAAGGCCCUCGGGUUGUAAAGCACUUUCAGUGAGGAAGAACGCCUGGUGGUUAAUACCCAUCAGGAAAGACAUCACUCACAGAAGAAGCACCGGCUAACUCCGUGCCAGCAGCCGCGGUAAUACGGAGGGUGCGAGCGUUAAUCGGAAUUACUGGGCGUAAAGCGCGCGUAGGUGGCUUGAUAAGCCGGUUGUGAAAGCCCCGGGCUCAACCUGGGAACGGCAUCCGGAACUGGCAAGCUAGAGUGCAGGAGAGGAAGGUAGAAUUCCCGGUGUAGCGGUGAAAUGCGUAGAGAUCGGGAGGAAUACCAGUGGCGAAGGCGGCCUUCUGGACUGACACUGACACUGAGGUGCGAAAGCGUGGGUAGCAAACAGGAUUAGAUACCCGAGUAGUC